CAGCAGCCACGGUAAUACGAAGGUCCCGAGCGUUGUUCGGAAUCACUGGGCGUAAAGGGAGCGUAGGCGGCGUGGUAAGUCAGAUGUGAAAUCCCGGGGCUCAACCCCGGAACUGCAUCCGAUACUGCCGUGCUAGAGGAUUGGAGAGGUAGCUGGAAUUCUUGGUGUAGCAGUGAAAUGCGUGGAGAUCAAGAGGAACACUCGUGGCGAAAGCGAGCUACUGAACAAUAUCUGACGCUGAGGCUCGAAGGCCAGGGUAGCGAAAGGGAUUAGAUACCCCGGUAGUCCCUGUCUCUUAUAA
rnacentral:rRNA from 1 species